UGUUCACCAAAAUAGUUUUAUUGGUUCUUUAGCUAGAGCAUAUAGUGUUGUCUCUAUUGGUUCAGGUCUUUGUUUUCGCCCCUGCCUAUCUAGCUCAUGUGGGUGAUCUUGGAGGCUGCAACAAAUUUGCACACAUAUGGUAUAUUGACAUACCAACAUGCGAAGGAUGUAUUCUUGAAAGAUAGCACUCCUGCAGCGGCAAUAGUACUGGGAGGGGAAGACAUGAGAAACAUGAAGCUUAUUGGAUCAGGGGAGGGGAAGACACAAGAAACAUGAAGCUUAUUGGAUCGUUGCCGACUGAGAAGAUGGUCAACACAGUAAGGAGGCCGUGUACUGGCGCACAAAG